rnacentral:rRNA from 1 species
UACGAAGGACCCGAGCGUUAUCCGGAUUUAUUGGGUUUAAAGGGUGCGUAGGCGGACUUGUAAGUCAGUGGUGAAAUCCUGCGGCUUAACUGCAGAACUGCCAUUGAAACUGCUUGUCUUGAGUACAUUUGAAGCGGGCGGAAUGUGUCAUGUAGCGGUGAAAUGCUUAGAUAUGACACAGAACACCGAUUGCGAAGGCAGCUCGCUAAACUGUAACUGACGCUGAGGCACGAAAGCGUGGGGAGCAAACAGG